CAGGUGGUUGCUAGGCAGUUGCUAAGUGGUUGCUAGGCAGUUGCUAACAUUUUCCAAGUGGUUGCUAAGUGGUUGCUAGGUAGUUGCUAACAUAUUCCAGGUGGUUGCUAGGCAGCUGCUAAGUGGUUGCUAGGCAGUUGCUAACGUUUUCCAGGUGGUUGCUAAGUGGUUGCUAGGCAGUUGCUAAUGUUUUCCAGGUGGUUGCUAGGCAGUUGCUAAGUGGUUGCUAGGCAGUUGCUAACGUUUUCCAGGUGGUUGCUAAGUGGUUGCUAGGCAGUUGCUAACGUUUUCCAGGUGGUUGCUAAGUGGUUGCUAGGCAGUUGCUAACGUAUUCCAGGUGGUUGCUAGGCAGUUGCUAAGUGGUUGCAAGGCAGUUGCUAACGUUUUCCAAGUGGUUGCUAGGCAGUUGCUAAGUGGUUGCUAGGCAGUUGCUAACGUUUUCCAGGUGGUUGCUAAGUGGUUGCUAGGCAGUUGCUAACAUUUUCCAGGUGGUUGCUAGGCAGUUGCUAAGUUGUUGCUAAGCAGUUGCUAACGUUUCCAGGUGGUUGCUAAGUG